UCUAAUUCUGCACCCCGGCAUGGCUGCGGGAAACGCCCGCCACUUCCAGGAUGCCCAGGAUUGAUUGAUUAAUUGAUUGGUUGAUGAGAGAGACUGAAGUAGAGGAAGGAAGACCAGAAGAACUCAGCUCCAACAUACAGCGAUGCUGAGAAUCGAGCCCUUGGUCCCUUAACCUCCGGGCAUGACUGAGAUGCAUAUCAGGAGCAAGGAAGUAUGACAGCUUGAAGGAGUCCGACAGCAUUGUUUGCUGCCUUGACGCGUAUUCAUUCUGUCUGGUCUGCCUGCGAAGAAACCACAGGUCAC